CAAAAAUCUUACCUAACUUUACAAAGAUGCCAAAAAAACAGAAGAAGGACAAAAUGGAAUCUAAGUCUUCCCAGAAUGAUAAGAUACAAGAUUUGGCUUCAGCUACGGAUGACCACGAUUACUGCCUUUCAGACGUGGAGCUUGAAAGUGACGGAGGGGAAAAAAGAAAUCUAGAGGAAAUGAAUGACUUGCUUAGUGAUCAUUCGAGUAAGGUUGUUAGACCUAGUCCCACAACAAGUGACAUUCUGGCAGCUAUUCAAGCUCUCCACGUGAGAUUUGAUAAACAAGAUGAUAAAAUGGCGGACAUUAACAACAAACUAUCGGAGAAUGCCUCGUUGAUUGCCAAUCUUGUUGAAUCUAUCGAGUUCAAUGCAGCUGAAGUCCGUGAUUGUAAAGAUAAAAUUGCGGGUUUGGAGAAGGAAGCCUCAACUUUACGGAGAGAAGUUGAUGAGCUCAAAGAAAAGGCAAGAGAACGAGACCGGUAUUCACGAAGGUGGAAUCUAAGGAUUAAAGGAAUGAAAGAAGGUAUGGGCGAAGAUAUCAGAAAAGAGGUGAUUAAAAUUCUCGCCAAGAUAGCCCCAGAAUGGUCUGAUAAUAUGGAGUACAUCGUCGACACUGUGCACUGGAUUGGAAGGAAAGAAGAGGGCAGAAAUCGCCAAGUCAUGAUUCAGUUCACGAAGCGCCUACAUCGAGAUGGAAUAUGGAAGAAGUCCAAAAACGCUCAGAUUUGUGAGACGGAAAAAAUCCGUUUUGCCGAGGAUUUGACGAAGGAGGAUCAUCUGGAACGGGAGAAAGUUUGGCCGAAAAUUUUACAAGCCAGAAAUGCGGGGGAGAAGGCUUACUACAGAGGAGCUGUCGGCUAUAUUAACGGCCGUCGCGUUCUGGCGGACGGCUGAAGGCUGUUUCACUUUUACUUGUUCUCUGAACUCUACCUAAAGAGGGACGCUUGACAGUUUUGAAUGGGAUGGGAGUUGCCGCACCGCUCUUCUUUCACCUUUCCCUAAACAGGAAAGUAAACUAAAAUUUUUUUUUGUACAUAGUUAAGUUUGAUAUUAUAAUACUUUGAACCUUUUUUUUUUUUGUUUAUUUUUAAUGCUACGCACGUGUUUAUCCUUUGUGUCGUUGAAUGUUAGAGGUCUCAGGGAUAAUGUUAAAAGGAAAGCAAUGUUUAUGUUUAUCAAAGGGCUAAAAGCGAAUUGUGUCUUACUACAAGAAACUCAUUCAAGUGACACUGAUGUCACCUUCUGGUCAAAUCAAUGGGGUGAUAAAAUCC
rnacentral:lncRNA from 1 species